GAGGAAUAUUGGUCAAUGGACGAGAGUCUGAACCAGCCAAAUCGCGUGAAGGAAGACUGCCCUACGGGUUGUAAACUUCUUUUGUACAGGAAUAAAAGACAUUACGUGUAAUGUAUUGCAUGUACUGUACGAAUAAGCAUCGGCUAACUCCGUGCCAGCAGCCGCGGUAAUACGGAGGAUGCGCGCGUUAUCCGGAUUUAUGGGGAUUAAAGGGUGCGCAGGCGGGAUUUUAAGUCAGCGGUGAAAUUUUCAGGCUCAACCUGAACACUGCCGUUGAACCUGGGAUUCUUGAGUAUGGAUGAAGUCGGCGGAAUUCGUUGUGUAGCGGUGACAUGCUUAGAUAUAACGGGGAACUCCGAUUGCGUAUGCAGCUUACUAAGCCAUAACUGACGCUCAAGCACGAAAGC
rnacentral:rRNA from 1 species